rnacentral:lncRNA from 1 species
CUAUACACAAAUGCAAGAAGCCUGGGAAACAAGCAGGGAGAACUGGAAGUCCUGGCAUAGUCAAGGAAUUAUGAUGUGAUUGGAAUAACAGAGACUUGAUGUAAUAACUCACAUGACUGGAGUACUGUCAUGGAUGGAUAUAAACUGUUCAGGAAGGACAGGCAGGGCAGAAAAGGUGGGGGAGUUGCAUUGUAUAUAAGAGAGCAGUAUGACUGCUCAGAGCUCCAGUAUGAAACUGCAGAAAAACCUGAGAGUCUCUGGGAUUAAGUUUAGAAGUGUGAGCAACAAGGGUGAUGUCGUGGUGGGAAUCUGCUAUAGACCACCAGACCAGGGGGAUGAGGUGGACGAGGCUUUCUUCCAGCAACUAACAGAAGAUACUAGAUCACAGGCCCUGGUUCUCAUGGGGGACUUCAAUCACCCCAAUAUCUGCUGGGAGAGCAAUACAGGGGUGCACAGACAAUCCAGGAAGUUUUGGGAAAGUGCAAGGGACAAUUUCCUGGUGCAAGUGCUGGAGGAACCAACUAGGGGCAGAGCUCUUCUUGACCUGCUGCUCACAAACAGGGAAGACUUAGUAGGGGAAACAAAAGUGGAUGGGAACCUGGGAGACAGUGACCAUGAGAUGGGUGAGUUCAGGAUCCUGACACAAGGAAACAAGGAGAGCAGCAGAAUACAGACCCUGGACUUCAGAAAAGCAGACUUUGACUCCCUCAGGGAACUGAUGGGCAGGAUCCUCUGGGAGAAUAACAUGAGUGGGAGAGGAAUCCAGGAGAGCUGGCUGUAUUUUAAAGAAUCCUUAUUGAGGUUGCAGGAACAAACCAUCCUGAUGUGUAGAAAGAAUAGUAAAUAUGGCAGGCGACCAGCUUGGCUUAACAGUGAAAUCCUUGCUGAUCUUAAACACAAAAAAGAAACUUACAAAAAGUGGAAGAUUGGACAAAUCACCAGGGAGGAGUAUAAAAAUAUUGCUCAGGCAUGCAGGAGUGAAAUCAGGAAGGCCAAAUCACACCUGGAGUUGCAGCUAGCAAGAGAUGUUAAGAGUAACAGAAGGGUUUCUUCAGGUAUGUUAGCAAAAAGAAGAAAGUCAAGGAAAGUGUGGGCCCCUUACUGAAUGAGGGAGGCAACCUAGUGACAGAGGAUGUGGAAAAAACUAAUGUACUCAAUGCUAUUUUUGCCUCUGUCUUCACAAACAAGGUC